rnacentral:tRNA from 1 species
GCGAUCCUAGCUCAGCGGAUAGAGCGUUCGGCUCCGAACCGAAAGGUCGGGGGUUCAAUUCCCCCGGAUCGCG